AGAUAUACAAAUUUCAUUAAGUCUUAAAAGCAUUUUACAUGGUCAGUCCAACGCCUCUCAAAACAACCAAAAAAAAUAAAGCAUUUCCAGUCACACUAUAUACAUCAUGUUAUUCAUCCACAGUAAAGAUAUCAUCCACCAUUGAAGACUACUUAAGAAUCUAACUCAAGGUUCAACAGUUCUGCCCUGCAAGCUCCUCCAACAAUACAUGUUCCCAAUCUGAUGAGCCAGCAUGAGAUUGAUCCCCUAGCCUACUGGUCAUGCGAGAUUGGGUUAUUGGAUCAUCCUUGACGAAGAGAUGGAAUUCCUUGAUGGUAGAUUUGUCUUCAGUAGACAUACAGGCAUUAUUUUGUGACUGAGGUUCCAUAUUUACAUCCAGAAUUCUGUCCAGUGAUCCAUCUUGAUCAAUUGGCCAAUGCCUAUGGAAACCUGCAUUUCCAAGACCAAGAUCAUCACUUGCUCUCUGGUGCUCUUCUUUAUCCAUGGAAUUCAAAUUGUCAACCCGGCAUUGCAGAAUAUGAAAUCUUGCCAUGACAGAAGCUUCAACAUCGUCUGCAGGGCUGAUAGUACUUGAUAUAGAGGAAUCCUGGAUGGAUACAUCUGGCUUGUGGCCAUCUGUGUCUUCACAUCCUAAUUUGUCAACUUCGUUUGAAUUGGGAGAAACAUCAGAACUAGACUUCUUCUCUGCCGAACCUAAUGUUUUGUCUUCACCAGAAGUAUUCCAAGUGUUAGAGUUGUCGAUUCGGCACUUUAAGAUGUGAAAUCUGGCAGUAACAUCAUCAGUAUGGCUGCUUGGGCUUAAGAUAGAUGACUCUCGAAUGGAAGUAUCUGCGAAAGGGCUGCCCUUACUAUCAGAUGCCAACAUCUUAUAUGUGAACAGAUCAGAAGAAACCUUGGACCCUGAUGGCUUCUCCAUAACCACAGUAUUUUCGCAAACUUUUUGUGAGUUCAAUUUUUCCAUCUCACUCUUCAUUUGAUUAAAGCGGGCCAUACAACUAGCAGUACACAGUGAAGCUUCUGCCUCAAGCCACAGAUUCUUGUACAAAAUAACUUGUGGAUCGCUUUCUUCCUUGCCAUGAAAAUUCUCACUAAGGGCCUUUUUUAUAGCCUGGGUCAUAUUUUCAUCUUUCAAUAUGUCUGCAGCAGUCCUUGCAAACACAAAAUUUGACAACUUCUCAUCAUUCUUCCCAGAACCAAUGUUAUGCUCCUCCUCGUGGACAUGCUGAUACUUGGCUGGGCCUUGAGAAUUAGGAGGAUCAAUUCUAGAUACCUGAGAACCAUUCAUACUUGUACCCUGAGCAGUUCAUCAUUCAGCUUAGAGAUAAAUAUUGAGACAUUUUCAAGCAUGGUUUACUAGGGCAUAUGAUUAUCAAAAUUACAAUGGCUCACUAGAAUUUAAUGGAUUUCACAGAUUUACCGGGAAAAAAGGAAUUAAAAAAAUUAAGAAACUAGAACAUAGAAUGAUCUUGCCAUUAUUUCAGUAGAUGGAAACAACUCACAUCAUCCACCAGAGAGGAAAGUAGAAAUAAAAAUAUUCACACCUCCAAUGUGUUUGCCAUGGGUUCUGAAUCUUACACUUUUAAGGCUUCCAUCUUGUUUUAAACUAUUCUGCAAUCUGUUAGUUUUUCUUUCUAUGCCUUUUCCUUAAUUUAUAAAUAUAUUCUCAGCAUAUAUUUAAUAUGCAGCAUGCAAGAAAAGCAGAAGCAUGUCAAAUUUGGUGGCUUAAAAAGGAAUGUGAAGAGAAUAGACAAAUAGUACUGAAAUAGGUACUUUUUCCAGGAACUGGUCAGCUUUUAAAAGAGCUCUAAAUUUUGGACUUUUCUUGUUAUGCGAUGCACUUGUUUCUUGCAGUGCUUUCUCUUUUAUUUUCCAUUAUUACAUAUUUGGGGGGAAUCAUCUACUGGGGCUUCAAUUUCUACAUUUUAUAAAAUAUAGCUUCUUCCAAAUUUACCAACAAAGAAAGUCUAGUGAAAGAGCCUCAACACUAAAAUGAGACGGGUUUAAAUAGAGCAAAGAAAUACCUUCUGCAGCUUAGAUGACUUUCCAAGUUGAGAAUUGACUCUCCGAGGAAUCACAGAGUUUUGUGUUGAAGUCAUUCUCUCCACAUUCUUUAAAACACACAAAUCAAGAUUAUUGAUCACAUCUUUAAGUGCCUCAUAAUCAUCUUCCUUCAUUUCACAUGUGUCAUUUGAAAAAUGAAAGACAAGUAAUUCUGACAAGUUCAUGAUGGUAUCAAUCAGUGUUCUAACAUACAUCUUCUGUGUUGAUUCUCCUCCAUGUGAUUUAGUGAGCUUAGCAGGAGCAUCAUCUGCAGAAGGUGGUGAACGUAAUACAUGUUCUAUAGCAUGGAAUGGCACAUGAGAUGAGCAGUCAUCAGCAUCAUCAUUCAUAUUCAUCCCAAAAUCGGCAACAUGACCCCGGGGUGCACAAUUUUUUUCAGAUGUCCAUUUAACUUCUUCACAACAUUUUUGGUCAUUGUAAGGGGAUUUAUGAUCAGAAUUAUCAAUUGCUUUGUUAGGCAGGGCAUCAUCAGAAAUUUGAACACCAUGGAAACUGCUAGGAUUUGUAUCAUGGGGUCCAGAUUUCACAGCAUCAUCAAUUCCCUCACUAUGCAGCAAAUUAGCUACCAAGGGCCUCUUCAGAGAAGCAGCUAAACAACUUUCCAUUGCCCAACCAUCAUGUUGUACUGAGCUUUCGCUGAAUUUUUCAGGGGAUAUUUUUGCAGCAUCAUUGGCAUUGAGACUGAAAAUUUGAUGACCUUGAAGAUUUGAGCCACAGCAAGCCUCUAACUUUUUCAUUUUCUGCGAAGUAACAACAUCAGAAACUUCAGACUCAGAAAAAUGAGAAACUGGAGCUCCUUUCCAGCAUGGAGAGUCUACUGCAGAGUUGUAAUGAUCAAAACUCUCAGAAUAAUUCUUUAUAGGAUUGAUGGAUUCAUUUUUAUCAAUGACUAAAUUGAAGCCAUCUGGACUUCUAUGAGGAACUUGAAUUCCAUAUUUUUCCCAUGAAAGAUGAUCCGAAGUUUCCACAGAAAAACUUCUAUUGCUUGACAGCUCUUCUUUUUUUGCGGAGGAAAAUUCCGAAAUGACCUGAUCGUUUUGUUCCAGUUGGAAUCUUACUUGGCUAGCAUCAAAGCAAACAUUGCAUUCGGAGCUUAUAAAUGGAUGAGGUUCCUUCACACAAGAGAGGUUGUUGCUAGCAAAAUCUUUAUUAUCUUCAUCACUGCUAUUAUUCAUAUUUCUAAAUGAACUUGUAUCUGGAGGUCUAAUGACGACAGUAGGUGCAGAAUUCUUGACUUUUGAAAUAUCACUUAAACUAGCAUCAUGCUUUCUGAAGCAUUUUUCAUGUGAAGCACUGUAUGGCAUUUGAUGGUUCCAGGAAUUGACAGCUUUUAGGGAUGGUGCCCGAAGAGGAAAGUUUUCUGGAACUAAAGUAGAUGCUGAGCUUGAAGUUGCAGGAUAGUCAGUAGGUUCGAACUUAGCAAAAUAAUCCAAUGGUCCUAUGCCCGCAGACUCAAUGUGGUUUUCCCCACCAACUGUAUCAAUGCUACAAGAAGCUUCUUCAUAUUUGCUCAUGCCAUCAGAAGCAUACAACCCUGCAAAUAAUAGUGACAAAGAAAAUGCGCACAAACAGAUAACUCUUUGCAAUCAAGGAACUGCCAAGAAACAUCUGAGAACAUGAAGGCAACCACAACUCCUCAAAGAUACCAAUUAUGGUGGAUAAAAGAGUUUAUCCAAUAACAAUUUAGUAAAGUGGUUAAAUAGGAUUUUGCAUCUUCUCAUUAUUAAAUAACUCCUGAAACCAUGAACACAUAGAUGAAAGUGCAGUUUUAUCUUUUGUGUUGAAGACUUGCCCAUAUUAGAAUCAUGUCACUCACCUACUAACCCUAGAGUGCUUAUAUAGAAACAUCAUUUAAAUGAAUAAUUCAAAAACUGAUCAAACAACAAUAAAAAAAAAUAAAAAAUGAAAAUAAAAUCAAAACAUAGCACAUAUCCCUAAUAAUGUUUUCUUUUUAUUACCAACUGGCCACAAACUGUUGACUCGUUGAGCUUUCUAUAACAUUUAUUACCCUUAGCUGCAACUACAUGUUAAGCAUUUUCUCCAAAAUGCAAAUUUGCUGCAUCUCUGAAGCCCUGAAUAUGUGCUAACAAGAUUUACCUAGCACUUACUUCUACACAGCAUGAGCAGUUGAUGGCCAUAACCAUGACAUCAAAAUAGUAAUUUUCUCCUAUAUAUUUUCUCUUGGUUUUAUUUUUAUUCCAGUCCAUUCUUAAGAACCACAGUGAAAAUAUAAAAUCAGGACGUUAUACAGACAAGAAAAGAAGAGGAAGCUGAGAAUAGUUAAAAUAUAUUAAAAUAUAGAAGUAGCCUGCAAGUGAAAAAAAUUACUGAAAUCUCAACAGUCCCUUUGGGAAACCUACCUUAAAAUAGUUUGCAUUAUUCCGGUUCAUAUUUUCUCACUGGACUGGGACGCAACCAAUUACCACAAAAUGUAACAACUAAAGAUGAAAAUGCAGCAAGUGCAAUAUAGACAAAGACAGUCAAACUAGCAUUCAUUAUGAUUUGUAGAUGCAAGGACAAUUAGCUUCAAAGGUCUACAAGGAUGAUGAGAAAUAAGCAUAUAAAAACAACAAGAACUGCAAAGGUAAGAAUGCUACUGAUGAGAAACAAAAUCAUAUAUGAAUAAAAUGCUUUGAUUGAUAAAGCAAGAGAAAACCAAGAAGAGUAUAAGUAGUUUCAGAAAAAAUGAUUAUUAUGCUCAUUUUAACUUCUAAGUUAGGCCCUCAAUAAUAACAACAACAAUAAUUAGCCAAAGAUACCUUGAUUAAUAAAUUUCUCAUUAGGGCAGAAACUUGCAUCAAGUUGCACCUGUUCACUCUGCUGCCAAUCUGCAAGUCCCUCCCACAAGCCACCCCACUGGGCCACAUGCUCCAAACCAGACAAAUUUUGGGUGUAAUCAUCAUGAGAGGAACCGUUGGAUGUAGCAACAUGAGAAGUAGUCAAUAAAUCAUAACCAGAAUGGUGGGAGAGCCCCAAGGGACCAUCACUGCAAAUUGUGGGUGAAACAUAGGAGGGAUAAUAUGGUUUAGCUUCAAGAAGGCUAGUUGAACCUUGGCCAUACAAAAUGGUAUCAGUUGAGGCCGAGACAGAAGCGUCAAAAGCAGGCACAUGGGCAUUGGAUGAAGAAAACCUAUAUGCAUUUGAGGACGGAACAGAAUCAAAUUCCGGAUUUGAAAUAGAAAAAUAAUCGGGUCUGGAAUUUGGAGGGUGAGGGCCAAGCCAAUUCUGCAAAGAGGGAUUGAAGGUAACAGCAUAAGCCGGUUCAGUCAAAUCAACAAGUGGGUUCGAACCCGGUUUUGGUACAGACCGAUCAACUGUGAAAGGAGGAGCUAAAGCCGAUAAAUUAGAAGGUGAAGGUGAAGAUCCUCCUCCAUAACCACAAGAACCAUGACCCAUCAUCAUCUCAUCAAUUUCUACUAACAGAAAAUCAAGUCAACUGAAGAAGACUGACGCCAAAGAGACGAGCAGAGCACUGUCGUAUAUUUCUUCGCCUCAGACGAAAAGGA
rnacentral:misc_RNA from 1 species